rnacentral:hammerhead_ribozyme from 1 species
AUGCAGCUGACGAGUCCCAAAUAGGAAGAAACGCGCAUUUUGUAU